GCGGUAGCGUCAGGCCAGUGCUGCGGCCUGAGCAGCCAGUGUCCGGCAUGAAGGUCUGGGGUCUGGCUGCUGCUUACUCCUUGCUCCAGCACCAUGGAAUGCCUGCGCAGUUUGCCCUGCCUCCUGCCCCGCGCCAUGAGACUUCCCCGCCGGACGCUGUGUGCCCUGGCCUUGGACUUGACCUCUGUGGCUCCUCCCGUUGCUGCUUCCGGCCGCCGAGCCAACCUGAUUGGAAGGAGCCGGGCGGCGCAGCUUUGCGAGCCGGGGCGGCUCCGCGUGGCAGGUGAAGUGCACCGGUUUAGAACUUCUGACGUCUCUCAAGCCACUUUAGCCAGUGUAGCCCCAGUAUUUACUGUGACAAAAUUUGACAAACAGGGAAACGUUACUUCUUUUGUAUUUGAAAGCUGUGAUAACUCCAGAGUGUCUUCUGAUAUUAGAUUAUCGUAAUUUAAACUUAGAGCAAUGGCUGUUCCGGGAACUCCCUUCACAGUUGUCUGGAGAGGGUCAACUCGUUACAUACCCUUUACCUUUUGAGUUUAGAGCUAUAGAAGCACUCCUGCAAUAUUGGAUCAACACCCUUCAGGGGAAACUUAGCGUUUUGCAGCCACUGAUCCUUGAGACCUUGGAUGCUUUGGUGGACCCCAAACAUUCUUCUGUAGACAAAAGCAAACUGCACAUUUUACUACAGAAUGGCAAAAGUCUAUCAGAGUUAGAAACAGAUAUUAAAAUUUUCAAAGAGUCAAUUUUGGAGAUCUUGGAUGAGGAAGAGUUGCUAGAAGAGCUCUGUGUAUCAAAAUGGAGUGAUCCACAAGUCUUUGAAAAGAGCAGUGCUGGGAUUGACCAUGCAGAAGAGAUGGAGUUGCUGUUAGAAAACUACUACCGAUUGGCUGACGAUCUCUCCAAUGCAGCUCGCGAGCUUAGGGUGCUGAUUGAUGAUUCACAAAGCAUUAUUUUCAUUAAUCUGGACAGCCACCGUAACGUGAUGAUGAGGUUGAAUCUACAGCUGACCAUGGGAACCUUCUCUCUUUCGCUCUUUGGACUAAUGGGAGUUGCUUUUGGAAUGAAUUUGGAAUCUUCCCUUGAAGAGGUGAGAAUGUAUUAUUUCUAAAACUUGGGGGGUUUUGGCUGGACAUGGUGGCUCAUGCCUGUAAUCCUAGCACUUUGGGAGGCUGAGGCAGGUUGAUCACCUGAGGUCAGGAGUUUGAGAGCAACCUGGCCAACAUGGCGAAACCCUGUCUCUACUAAAAAUACAAAAAUUACACAGGCGCAGUGGCAGGCACCUGUAAUCCCAGCUACUUGGGAGGCUGAGGCAGGAGAAUCGCUUGAACCCAGGAGGCGGAGGUUGCAGUGAGCUGAGAUCGCGCCGUUGCACUCCAGCCUGGGAGACAGAGUGAGAUUCUGUCUCCAAAAAAAAAAAAAAAAGAUUGGGUUUUGAAGAUCGUUUUUUUUUUUUUAAUGGAUUUAAAAAAUAAAGGCUGGGCACCUUGGCUCACGCCUGUAAUCCCAGCACUUUGGGAGGCUGAGGCAGGUGGAUCACGAGUUAAGGAGAUCGAGGCCAUCCUGGCUAACAUGGUGAUACCCUGUCUCUACUAAAAAUACAAAAAAUUAGCCGGGCUUAGUGGCAGACGCCUGUAGUCCCAGCUACUGGGGAGGCUGAGGCAGGAGAAUGGCGUGAAUCCAGGAGGCGGAGCUUGCAGUGAGCCAGGAUCACGCCACUGCACUCCAGCCUGGGCGACAGGACAGAGUGAGACUCUGUCUC
rnacentral:sRNA from 1 species